GAUGAACGCUAGCUACAGGCUUAACACAUGCAAGUCGAGGGGUAACGAGAGGAAAGCUUGCUUUCCUUGUCGACGACCGGCGCACGGGUGAGUAACGCGUAUCCAACCUGCCCCCAACUAGGGAAUAACCUUGCGAAAGUAAGACUAAUACCCUAUAAUUUCCUCAGAUGACAUCUGACGAGGAAUAAAGAUUUAUCGGUUGUGGAUGGGGAUGCGUCUGAUUAGCUUGUUGGCGGGGUAACGGCCAACCAAGGCAACGAUCAGUAGGGGUUUGGAGGGGAAGGUCACCAACAUUGGAACUGAGACACGGUCAAAACUCAUACGGGAGGCAGCAGUGGGGAAUAUUGGUCAAUGGGCGGAAGCCUGAGCCAGCCAAGUAGCGUGCAGGAUGACGGCCCUAUGGGUUGUAAACUGCUUUUAUACAGGAAUAAAGUUAGCCACGUGUGGUUAUUUGUAGGUACUGUAUGAAUAAGGACCGGCUAAUUCCGUGCCAGCCGCCGCCGUAA
rnacentral:rRNA from 1 species